UUUAAAUAUUGUUGAGAAAUCAAAUAAUUCUGGGAUACAAAUAAAAUGAGGGAUAUGUAGGGAAAGUAAUACAUAUAUGUAGAAUACAUAAAAUAGGUUCAAUAUCUACUAAACAGAAUUCAGAAUAGUUUACAGAAUUUAAACAGCCAAUAGUACCUAUUAGUGGAACAUGGGGUACUGAAUAAUUUAGAUUUGAUUUAUUAGAAUUUCUGUUUAGUCAUGUUAUAUAUCUUGAACUGUAACUAAAAUUUUAAGAAUGUAGUCAAUUAUUUUAUUUAUUAUUUCCACUUUCACAAAUAUGUUUAGCACUUAUAUACCCUGUUAAAUACUGAUUACAAAUAAUAAACACAUGGCCUUAUCAUACUAUUGUACACGUUUUCAAAACUUUGAAAUUCUCUGAUGAAGUAAGGACUGAGGUUACUUUCAUUUGGGUUCCUGUUACAGGUGCUUUAUACUAAGAUAUUGACUUUGGUUGUGAGCAGUUCUUCUGGCUGAAUUGAUUUAUGAUACACUCUGUUGCUAUCCAGACAGUUUCCAGUGAAAUGACAAAGAAGUUCUGCUUCCAUACCCAACUAAUCAAUGGAAAGCAAAGCAAGACCAGACAAAACAAAACCUUUUAUAUAAAGUGACUGGAUAUUAAAUGUCAUGUUGUAUAUGCUAUGUGUGAAAAUAAAGAGCAGACAUACAUAUCUUGUUAAUCGAUAUUGCUAUUUGCUUUCCAAAGAUAAAUUUAUAUCUAGUACAGAGACUAUUAAAACUGUUGUUGCAUUGAAUGGUUUGUUUAAAAAUAAAU
rnacentral:lncRNA from 1 species